AGUUCUAUGGCUUGUGUAUACUGGUGGUCAGACUAGAUGAUCUCAGUGGUCUCUUCUGGCCUUUGGAUCUAUAAGUAACCUCUUUUCAUGAAAAACAGUAUCUGCCUAUGAGAGAACUGUAGUUCUUUGAGUGCUUACUCAUGUCCAUUCCGCAUUAGGUGUAUAUGCUUGCCACAUGCACCGGUGCCAGAAGUUUUUCCCUCAGCAGUAUCCAUAGGGGAGCAGCCCUGGUGCCCUCUGGAGUGGCACCCACAUGGAACAGUAUAAGGGGUGCUGCCAGCUCCCCCCACUCUCAGUUCCUUCUUGCCGCCAGUGAUGGUGCAUGGAACGUUUGCUGCUCUUACUAGCAUUGCUUAGGCUUCGUUUGUACAAACUAGAGUUCUUGUAAAGUUAGUGUACAUAGUUUCAGAGUAGCAGCCGCGUUAGUCUGUAUUCG